GGUUUCACUCUGAGUUCUGGAGCCAACCUGCCCACCCGCUGAGACACUCAGGUCACAGAAGCAGUAGGUCAGAAGCCUGAGGGGAUAUAAGGAGUGCCACUCUGGAGCCCCCCCAGUGCACCUGUUGAGAUGGAGGCCUCAAAUGGGCAAGGGGGUGAAGGAGACAAGCCCCUAAAGAAGGUGACAGAUGCACCCUACUUAGAGAAGAGCUCCCACACCACCCGUUCUGGAGACUCACUUGUACGCCAUGCCAAGGGUCUGGACCAGGACACCUUCAAAAUUUGUAAAGAAUAUCUAAGACCACUGAAGAAGUUCCUGCGAAAGUUGCACCUGCCCAGGGACCUUCCCCAGAAGAAGAAGCUAAAGUACAUGAAGCAGAGCCUGGUGGCUCUAGGGGACCACAUCAACACCUUUCUGCAACACUACUGCCGAACCUGGGAAAUCAAGCACUGGAGGAAGAUGCUCUGGCGAUUUGUCUCUCUCUUCUCAGAACUGGAGGCAAAACAGCUUCGCAGGCUCUACAAGUACACCAAGAGCAACCAGACAGCCAAGUUCCUGGUGGCGUUCUGUCCCCUGGACACCCUGGAGAGCUCCUUGCUGGCCAACCAGGAAGACAGUCUGCCCAAGCUCUGCAGUGCCUGGGGGCUGCACGGCAACAUCAGCGGCAUGAAGGAGAGGCUGUCCAAGAUGCAGGCCCCUGGCCGAGAGGCCUCCCUGCUGGGGAAGCCAAGAUCCCAGAUCCAGGUCAUGAAAGGAACGAAGAACACGAAAGGCGAAACGAACACGAAGCAGAAAAAAAAAAUGCUUGGCAAGAGGAGAAAAUUGUGUCUGCUUCAACAAGGAAAGUUCAGCAGAAGUGAUGCUAGGUCAGAAAAAGCCAUACAGAGUCCACUUUGUUCUCUGGAAUACUAAUUUUUGGAUUCCUGAACCACCAUAUUAAAAAGAGGAACUACCAUGAGGCAACCAUGAUCUCAAAAAACCCAAGCCACGUGGAGAUGCUAUGCGUAAGUGCUCCAGUCAACAAUUCCAGCCUUGUGAAAUGGACCUGAAAAGAGGAGCUGAGGCAUCAGCAAUGUGAGUGAACCAUCUUGAAAGGGGGCCCCUCCACACUCAGCUGCGAUUUCAGAAGACUGCAACUCCACCUGACAUCUUGACUGAAUCUUCAUGAGAAAUCCCAAGCCAAUGCUGUUCAGCUAAGUUCCUCCUGACCCAAAGAAACCUUGAGAGGCAAUAAAUGUUUGUUGUGGCUUUAAGUGAUGAAGUUUUAGGGUAAUUUGUUAUGUGGCAAUAGAUAACUAAUAGAAGACUUAAGCCAAUGAGAACAUGGCAUUCCCAGGUAAACUCUAUUAGUUUAGGAACAGCCAUAUUACUAAACUGUCCCAAAUCUACCAAAGGGACAGGCUUCCUUUUCUUUUUUUUUCAAAUAGUUAAGUGAGCAACUCUCUUCCACUUACCCAUAAACAUUAAAACCUAUAUUCAGAUUGUAACUGGCAACCAUCCUGUUAUCAUAAAGGAAGCCUAGUUUAGGAUGAAUAUAAUAUUGCAGGGUACAAAUCACACAGAUCAAAUAAAGUAGAAAUAACCAUAAACCCCUCCUUAACUUUACCCUUCCAGUUAUAUGAACCAAUACAUUUCCUUAUCAUUUUACCCACAAAAGCCUUCUUUUGUUGGCACAUGUUUUAAUAUAAAACAUCUCCCUUUAUUUUCAAACUGUUUUAGUCAUAUUAUUUCAGGUGUGUCUUUGGGGAUUUUUCUUUUCUCAACACGAGUGCCUACAAAUGGGAAAAUUUACUGCAUUUACUUUUAUUGUACUUAAAUCAUAUCUAUUCUUAUUAUUGCUAUUUUGGCUCGUGCAUUCUAUGUAUUUUACUUUCCUGAUCUUUAGUAAUUUUGAAGUCCUAUAUCAGUGGUUGCAAAUUGAUAGUUUAUAUUCAGCCCACAGAUAUGGUUGGGUUUUCUUUUUGUUUUUGUCUUGGCCUCAUAGAGUAUUUAAAUUUUUUUGAUCUAAUAUUUAAAAUUCUGGAUAUUUCACAUAGAAAUUCAGGUAUCUGUCUAGCCACACUUGAAAAACCAGAAGAUCUAUAAUAAGGUGCUCCUAGCAUGGCAACAAUCAUCUGGAACUAAAUGGUGGCUGGUCCCCUAUAGGAGGUAUGUGCCCUCUGGUCUACCGUAUUUCUCACCAUUUUGUGUUCUUCUUUUCAAGGUGGAAAGUAAAUCUCACUUUGUAUUUAUAAUCUUUGUUUGCACUUUUGUUUUCUUAUGGUAGAACAUGCCUCUGUUCUCAUGGUAUGAUCAUUUUUAUUAAAGACUGAAGAGGGCCAUUGCCAUGGACUGAAUUGUGUCCCCUGCCCCCCAUAUAUAUGUUGAAGUCCUAACCCUCAAGUGAUAGUAUUUGGAGAUGGGGCCUUUGGGCAAUAAUUAGGUUCAGAGGCAGUCAUGAGAGUGGGACUCUCAUGACGGGAUUAGUUCUUUUAUAAGAAAAGAUACCAGAGGGCUUGUUCUCUCUCUGUUCUAUGUGAGGACACAACAAGAAGGCAGCCAUCUGUAAGCCAGGAAGAGAGCUCUCACCGGAACUAGAUUAUACUAGCACCUUGUUUUCAGACUUCUAGCCUCUGGAACUGUGGGAAAAUAAAUUUCUGUUGUUUAAGCCAACCAGUCUAUGGUAUUUGUUAUGGUGGCCUGAGCUAAACAAUACAGCUAUGUUUCAAGGGAAAAAAAAAGGUAAGACUGCCUACUUCUAUGUUACCUCUCUGACCCCUGUGGACAUUUGAGUUUGCAAUUUUUGUUUCCGUCCUUUUUCUCUUUUACAUGUGGUUACCCAUAAAUUGUUAAGAAUUAUGAUGGGAAACAACAUUUUUUAUAACCAUCAAGAUACAUUAUCUAAUUUUUGC